rnacentral:rRNA from 1 species
CGAUGGACAACGGGUUGAUAUUCCCGUACCGGCAAAGUAGCGCCCAUGACGAACCUGGUGAUGCUAACUGCCCGAAACCAUGCUUACUGAACCCUUCGGGGGGAUGGGGCAUGGCGGAGCGCAGGACCCGAGCCAGUAGUAGUCAAGCGAUGGGGUGACGCAGGAAGGUAGUCCAACCGUGGCGAUGGUUGACCACGGCUAACCGCGUAGGGCGAGUGAUAGGCAAAUCCGUCACUCAUGUGCCUGAGACGGGACAGGGAGCCAUUAAUGGUGAAGUGGAUGAUCCUAUGCUGUCGAGAAAAACCUCUAGCGAGCUACGCGCCGCCCGUACCCCAAACCGACUCAGGUGAUCAGGUAGAGAAUACCAAGGCGAUCGAGUGAACCAUGGUUAAGGAACUCGGCAAAAUGCCCCCGUAACUUCGGGAGAAGGGGGGCCGGAUUCGUCAAGGCACUUGCUGCCGGCAGCGAUGAUGGCCGCAGAGACCAGGCCCAAGCGACUGUUUACUAAAAACACAGGUCCGUGCGAAGUCGUAAGACGAUGUAUACGGACUGACUCCUGCCCGGUGCUGGAAGGUUAAGGGGACGGGUCAGCUCUUCGGAGCGAAGCUCAGAACUUAAGCCCCAGUAAACGGCGGUGGUAACUAUAGCCAUCCUAAGGUAGCGAAAUUCCUUGUCGGGUAAGUUCCGACCUGCACGAAUGGAGUAACGACUUGGGCGCUGUCUCAACCGUGGACUCGGCGAAAUUGCACUACGAGUAAAGAUGCUCGUUACGCGCGGCAGGACGGAAAGACCCCGGGACCUUUACUAUAGUUUGGUAUUGGUGUUUGGUUCGGCUUGUGUAGGAUAGGUGGGAGACUGUGAAGCUUGGACGCCAGUUCAGGUGGAGUCAACGUUGAAAUACCACUCUGGUCGUACUAGAUGUCCAACCUAGGUCCGUAAUCCGGAUCAGGGACAGUGCCUGAUGGGUAGUUUAACUGGGGCGGUUGCCUCCUAAAAUGUAACGGAGGCGCUCAAAGGUUCCCUCAGCCUGGUUGGCAAUCAGGUGUUGAGUGUAAGUGCACAAGGGAGCUUGACUGUGAGACGUACAUGUCGAGCAGGGACGAAAGUCGGAACUAGUGAUCCGGCACCGGCAUGUGGAAGCGGUGUCGCUCAACGGAUAAAAGGUACCCCGGGGAUAACAGGCUGAUCUUCCCCAAGAGUCCAUAUCGACGGGAUGGUUUGGCACCUCGAUGUCGGCUCGUCGCAUCCUGGGGCUGGAGUAGGUCCCAAGGGUUGGGCUGUUCGCCCAUUAAAGCGGCACGCGAGCUGGGUUUAGAACGUCGUGAGACAGUUCGGUCCCUAUCCGCCGCGCGCGCAGGAAACUUGAGAAAGGCUGUCCCUAGUACGAGAGGACCGGGAUGGACGAACCUCUGGUGUGCCAGUUGUUCCGCCAGGAGCACGGCUGGUUGGCUACGUUCGGAAGUGAUAACCGCUGAAUGCAUCUAAGCGGGAAGCACGUUUCAAG